rnacentral:rRNA from 1 species
GACGAACGCUGGCGGCGUGCCUAAUACAUGCCAGUCGAACGCUGAAGCUUGGUGCUUGCACCGAGCGGAUGAGUUGCGAACGGGUGAGUAACGCGUAGGUAACCUGCCUGGUAGCGGGGGAUAACUAUUGGAAACGAUAGCUAAUACCGCAUAAGAGUAGAUGUUGCAUGACAUUUGCUUAAAAGGUGCAAUUGCAUCACUACCAGAUGGACCUGCGUUGUAUUAGCUAGUUGGUGAGGUAACGGCUCACCAAGGCAACGAUACAUAGCCGACCUGAGAGGGAGAUCGGCCACACUGGGACUGAGACACGGCCCAGACGCCUACGGGAGGCAGCAGUAGGGAAUCGUCGGCAAGGGACGGAAGUCUGACCGAGCAACGCCGCGUGAGGGAAGAAGGGUGUCGGAUCGGAAAGCUCUGUUGUAAGAGAAGAACGAGUGUGAGAGUGGAAAGUUCACAAUGUGACGGUAGCUUACCAGAAAGGGACGGCUAACUACGUG